UUGAUUUGAUCCUGGCUCAGAUUGAACGCUGCGGCAGGCCUAACACAUGCAAGUCGAGCGGAUGAGGGGGGCUUGCUCCCUGAUUUAGCGGCGGACGGGUGAGUAAUGCCUAGGAAUCUGCCUGGUAGUGGGGGAUAACGUUCCGAAAGGAACGCUAAUACCGCAUACGUCCUACGGGAGAAAGCAGGGGACCUUCGGGCCUUGCGCUAUCAGAUGAGCCUAGGUCGGAUUAGCUAGUUGGUGAGGUAAUGGCUCACCAAGGCGACGAUCCGUAACUGGUCUGAGAGGAUGAUCAGUCACACUGGAACUGAGACACGGUCCAGACUCCUACGGGAGGCAGCAGUGGGGAAUAUUGGACAAUGGGCGAAAGCCUGAUCCAGCCAUGCCGCGUGUGUGAAGAAGGUCUUCGGAUUGUAAAGCACUUUAAGUUGGGAGGAAGGGCAGUAAGUUAAUACCUUGCUGUUUUGACGUUACCGACAGAAUAAGCACCGGCUAACUUCGUGCCAGCAGCCGCGGUAAUACGAAGGGUGCAAGCGUUAAUCGGAAUUACUGGGCGUAAAGCGCGCGUAGGUGGUUCGUUAAGUUGGAUGUGAAAGCCCCGGGCUCAACCUGGGAACUGCAUCCAAAACUGGCGAGCUAGAGUACGGUAGAGGGUGGUGGAAUUUCCUGUGUAGCGGUGAAAUGCGUAGAUAUAGGAAGGAACACCAGUGGCGAAGGCGACCACCUGGACUGUUACUUUACACUGAAGGGGGAAAGGGUUCUACGUG
rnacentral:rRNA from 1 species